GGUUAAGCGACUAAGCGUACACGGUGGAUGCCCUGGCAGUCAGAGGCGAUGAAGGACGUGCUAAUCUGCGAUAAGCGUCGGUAAGGUGAUAUGAACCGUUAUAACCGGCGAUUUCCGAAUGGGGAAACCCAGUGUGUUUCGACACACUAUCAUUAACUGAAUCCAUAGGUUAAUGAGGCGAACCGGGGGAACUGAAACAUCUAAGUACCCCGAGGAAAAGAAAUCAACCGAGAUUCCCCCAGUAGCGGCGAGCGAACGGGGAGGAGCCCAGAGCCUGAAUCAGUGUGUGUGUUAGUGGAAGCGUCUGGAAAGGCGCGCGAUACAGGGUGACAGCCCCGUACACAAAAAUGCACAUGCUGUGAGCUCGAUGAGUAGGGCGGGACACGUGGUAUCCUGUCUGAAUAUGGGGGGACCAUCCUCCAAGGCUAAAUACUCCUGACUGACCGAUAGUGAACCAGUACCGUGAGGGAAAGGCGAAAAGAACCCCGGCGAGGGGAGUGAAAAAGAACCUGAAACCGUGUACGUACAAGCAGUGGGAGCACGCUUAGGCGUGUGACUGCGUACCUUUUGUAUAAUGGGUCAGCGACUUAUAUUCUGUAGCAAGGUUAACCGAAUAGGGGAGCCGAAGGGAAACCGAGUCUUAACUGGGCGUUAAGUUGCAGGGUAUAGACCCGAAACCCGGUGAUCUAGCCAUGGGCAGGUUGAAGGUUGGGUAACACUAACUGGAGGACCGAACCGACUAAUGUUGAAAAAUUAGCGGAUGACUUGUGGCUGGGGGUGAAAGGCCAAUCAAACCGGGAGAUAGCUGGUUCUCCCCGAAAGCUAUUUAGGUAGCGCCUCGUGAAUUCAUCUCCGGGGGUAGAGCACUGUUUCGGCAAGGGGGUCAUCCCGACUUACCAACCCGAUGCAAACUGCGAAUACCGGAGAAUGUUAUCACGGGAGACACACGGCGGGUGCUAACGUCCGUCGUGAAGAGGGAAACAACCCAGACCGCCAGCUAAGGUCCCAAAGUCAUGGUUAAGUGGGAAACGAUGUGGGAAGGCCCAGACAGCCAGGAUGUUGGCUUAGAAGCAGCCAUCAUUUAAAGAAAGCGUAAUAGCUCACUGGUCGAGUCGGCCUGCGCGGAAGAUGUAACGGGGCUAAACCAUGCACCGAAGCUGCGGCAGCGACGCUUAUGCGUUGUUGGGUAGGGGAGCGUUCUGUAAGCCUGUGAAGGUGUACUGUGAGGUAUGCUGGAGGUAUCAGAAGUGCGAAUGCUGACAUAAGUAACGAUAAAGCGGGUGAAAAGCCCGCUCGCCGGAAGACCAAGGGUUCCUGUCCAACGUUAAUCGGGGCAGGGUGAGUCGACCCCUAAGGCGAGGCCGAAAGGCGUAGUCGAUGGGAAACAGGUUAAUAUUCCUGUACUUGGUGUUACUGCGAAGGGGGGACGGAGAAGGCUAUGUUGGCCGGGCGACGGUUGUCCCGGUUUAAGCGUGUAGGCUGGUUUUCCAGGCAAAUCCGGAAAAUCAAGGCUGAGGCGUGAUGACGAGGCACUACGGUGCUGAAGCAACAAAUGCCCUGCUUCCAGGAAAAGCCUCUAAGCAUCAGGUAACAUCAAAUCGUACCCCAAACCGACACAGGUGGUCAGGUAGAGAAUACCAAGGCGCUUGAGAGAACUCGGGUGAAGGAACUAGGCAAAAUGGUGCCGUAACUUCGGGAGAAGGCACGCUGAUAUGUAGGUGAAGUCCCUCGCGGAUGGAGCUGAAAUCAGUCGAAGAUACCAGCUGGCUGCAACUGUUUAUUAAAAACACAGCACUGUGCAAACACGAAAGUGGACGUAUACGGUGUGACGCCUGCCCGGUGCCGGAAGGUUAAUUGAUGGGGUCAGCGCAAGCGAAGCUCUUGAUCGAAGCCCCGGUAAACGGCGGCCGUAACUAUAACGGUCCUAAGGUAGCGAAAUUCCUUGUCGGGUAAGUUCCGACCUGCACGAAUGGCGUAAUGAUGGCCAGGCUGUCUCCACCCGAGACUCAGUGAAAUUGAACUCGCUGUGAAGAUGCAGUGUACCCGCGGCAAGACGGAAAGACCCCGUGAACCUUUACUAUAGCUUGACACUGAACAUUGAGCCUUGAUGUGUAGGAUAGGUGGGAGGCUUUGAAGUGUGGACGCCAGUCUGCAUGGAGCCGACCUUGAAAUACCACCCUUUAAUGUUUGAUGUUCUAACGUUGACCCGUAAUCCGGGUUGCGGACAGUGUCUGGUGGGUAGUUUGACUGGGGCGGUCUCCUCCUAAAGAGUAACGGAGGAGCACGAAGGUUGGCUAAUCCUGGUCGGACAUCAGGAGGUUAGUGCAAUGGCAUAAGCCAGCUUGACUGCGAGCGUGACGGCGCGAGCAGGUGCGAAAGCAGGUCAUAGUGAUCCGGUGGUUCUGAAUGGAAGGGCCAUCGCUCAACGGAUAAAAGGUACUCCGGGGAUAACAGGCUGAUACCGCCCAAGAGUUCAUAUCGACGGCGGUGUUUGGCACCUCGAUGUCGGCUCAUCACAUCCUGGGGCUGAAGUAGGUCCCAAGGGUAUGGCUGUUCGCCAUUUAAAGUGGUACGCGAGCUGGGUUUAGAACGUCGUGAGACAGUUCGGUCCCUAUCUGCCGUGGGCGCUGGAGAAUUGAGGGGGGCUGCUCCUAGUACGAGAGGACCGGAGUGGACGCAUCACUGGUGUUCGGGUUGUCAUGCCAAUGGCACUGCCCGGUAGCUAAAUGCGGAAGAGAUAAGUGCUGAAAGCAUCUAAGCACGAAACUUGCCCCGAGAUGAGUUCUCCCUGACUCCUUGAGAGUCCUGAAGGAACGUUGAAGACGACGACGUUGAUAGGCCGGGUGUGUAAGCGCAGCGAUGCGUUGAGCUAACCGGUACUAAUGAACCGUGAGGCUUAACCUU
rnacentral:rRNA from 1 species